rnacentral:rRNA from 1 species
AACCAGCACAUACGACCAUACGCAGGUGAAAAUACGGGAUCCCGUCCGCUCUCCCCUGAUCAAAACAGCUUACGGCCAGACCAGUACUCAGGUGGGUGACCACUGGGGAAUUCCUGGUGUUGUAUGUUUUUG